CGAACGGGUGAGUAAUGCGUGACCAACCUGCCCCAUGCUCCAGAAUAGCUCUUGGAAACGGGUGGUAAUGCUGGAUGCUCCAACUUGACGCAUGUCUUGUUGGGAAAGUGUUUAGUGGCAUGGGAUGGGGUCGCGUCCUAUCAGCUUGUAGGCGGGGUAAUGGCCCACCUAGGCUUCGACGGGUAGCCGGCCUGAGAGGGCGGACGGCCACAUUGGGACUGAGAUACGGCCCAGACUCCUAGGGAGGCAGCAGC
rnacentral:rRNA from 1 species